rnacentral:rRNA from 1 species
AGUGAACGCUGGCGGUAGGCCUAACACAUGCAAGUCGAACGGCAGCACAGUAAGAGCUUGCUCUUACGGGUGGCGAGUGGCGGACGGGUGAGGCAUACAUCGGAAUCUACUUUUUCGGGGGGGAUAACGUAGGGAAACUUACGCUAAUACCGCAUACGACCUACGGGUGAAAGCAGCGGAUCUUCGGACCUUGCGCGAUUGAAUGAGCCGAUGUCGGAUUAGCUAGUUGGCGGGGUAAAGGCCCACCAAGGCGACGAUCCGUAGCUGGUCUGAGAGGGUGAUCAGCCACACUGGAACUGAGACAGGGUCCAGACUCCUACGGGAGGCAGCAGUGGGGAAUAUUGGACAAGGGGCGAAAGCCUGAUCCAGCCAUACCGCGUGGGUGAAGAAGGCCUUCGGGUUGUAAAGCCCUUUUGUUGGGAAAGAAAAGCAGCAGGUUAAUACCCCGCUGUUCUGACGGUACCCAAAGAAUAAGCACCGGCUAACUUCGUG